rnacentral:rRNA from 1 species
UACGGGGGGGGCAAGCGUUGUUCGGAAUUACUGGGCGUAAAGGGCGCGUAGGCGGCCUUCUAAGUCAGACGUGAAAUCCCCCGGCUUAACCUGGGAACUGCGUCUGAUACUGGGAGGCUUGAGUAUGGGAGAGGGAUGUAGAAUUCCUAGGUGUAGCGGUGAAAUUCGUAGAUAUCGGGAGGAACACCGGUGGCGAAGGCGGCGAUCUGGGUCGAUACUGACGCUGAGGUGCGAAAGCGUGGGGAGCAAACAGG